rnacentral:lncRNA from 1 species
AUGCAGCACUGAAUACGAAGGUCGCUCUUUUUCCCUCAAAAAUGGGUAAUUCCCGUCAUCAUGCAGUUAAGAAUGAUAUCAGAAAUCGUUUAUCUAUUCAUAAGCGUUGGAAUCGCUAUCUGAUGAGGACUAUGAAAAUCUUAAGAAAAAGAUGCUCGGAACGGCAUAUUCAUGUUGUCGAAGUGAUCUAAAUUCUGAGGAACUUGAUAAAUGUUUGAACUAUUAUUUGGUGAUGUGUUUUGGCAACGUUUUUCAAUUUUCUGAAAAACUUAACACAGUUGUGCCAACGUGUGGACUAAGAGAGGUAUUAAAAGAAAGAGUUCAGAAAGAGAAAGAUUUAAAUGGAUGCGUGAGAAUUCUGGCUGACCGUGAAUUGUCAACCGCAAUAGAACAGC